UGACCGAUGAUUGGGCACCUCCUGGAUUCCCAUCGACUUCUAUUGUAAGUGGCCAGUGCCCUGUCUGUGUCAGAAAACGGCAUUGCCUCCAUGUUAAAUAUGGGCAAGAUGGUGGGAAAAGUAGUAUGUAAGCAUAAUAAAUAAAUAUGUUUUUCAAAGAGUGCGUUUUGUUUAGUUGUUAGCCCUUAGCGCACAAUAAAAUGAAACAAGUUUGGGUGAUCUCUGCGACGUGGUGUCCAUAUUUUACAUGAAAGCCUAGGUCUAUUCUGUAACACGUAGAGACGGGGUGCUGGCCAGUGUGCUGGGAAACUGCUUGGCCACCACGCACAAUCUACGCUGUUAUACUUUGCCGGUAGCAAAUCGUAGCGCAGAAGCACAGGUACAAAUGUUUAAUCAAUGGGACGGCAUGCUGUCUACCGUUCGUCAUGAUGUCAAACUAACAAGCACGAACAGCGACAAUUGUGUACGUUGCUGGUCCGUAGUUCAUUUCGCGCCGGUUGCUUCACGUAUUAAAAUAAAUAUUUCUUUUUAAUACAAACGAUUAAAACUGUGCGCGCACACAGGGCGCGACAUUUGCGACGUUUGAAUUUUGCACUAUUUCCCGCGCGCUCCGUACGUGACCGGCCGGCGCACUGCGUUACCGCGAUAAAGAAAAUAGUUCCUCAAGGAAGCUAAGCAGAAAAUUUUCACACUCUUGCAAACCACAGAAAUUGUUAAGAAAUACCAUUAUAUUACAAGAUUUGUUAAUAAAUAUGGCAAUUCAUAUCUAUGAAAGCGUGGAUUUGUAUGCGCGUUUUUGUGUGAUUGCGCGCUUGUGCUGUUGACUCUUUGGCGGAUUCCAGAACUUUGUGCGUGCGGCGUAUGUGUGCGGGUUGCGUGAUGAGUUUGCUGCGUUUUCUGUGCCCUUUGCCUCGCUGUGACAUCUUUGGUAUAUUACAACUUAUUGCUCGGUCUUAAUGGGCUACACGUUGCCUCGAAGAUCACCAUGAUCGCCUCCGACUCAGCCACAUCGAAGAAUCAAAAUGAGCCUGGAGACGCCACAGCCGGAAUGCGAAAGGUUGGAGAGGUGCUCAUUCAGAUGAUCCUGGCACAGCUUGCCAUGGUGGACCAGGCAAGUUUGCAAGGGCCUUGAUUCACCAUGUGUUCACUGAGGAGAACCUCAUGGGCCACUUACUUCUCGGAAACACCACCACCAAUAGGCAAAAAGAGGCUCUUGGCCUUAUCAGGGUCAACGCUGUUAUAGGCAAGUACCGUACAUCCUUUUACCCAUUGCAUUUUUGCCUUCACAUUUUGUACUUGGAAUUACCAGCUUGCUAUUAGCACAACAAAUGACUUUCAAGUAGCCUGUGUCUGCAACUACGUGCUACAAUAGCCUACUAUUUGGAAUGAAUGUUCAUUUGAUCUCAAGUCUCUAACGCCUCCAUACUAAAGUGCUAAAUUUUAAAAGCAGCCUUAACUGCCAGAAGUGAUUGGUGGCUUCAAUUGACAAAGUUAGGUGUAUUUGCGCAUUAGUUGCACUACUUGACUGUCAUUGCAAUGAACAGUUGGAAUGAAGCAACUACCAAUCUGUAGUACCACUCUGUGAAGCUUGCUACCAAUCUGGUGCUAUAGCGGGUGUGCUUAAGUAGCCUGAAAGUGUUGUUAUAAUAUAGGAAUUGUGGAGAAGCUAUGCUCAAGUGCAGUUACUGCUCAACUCGAGGGACAGCACUUCCACCAAAUUUCAGCAAUCAAUAUGGCCCUCCAGAUUCUGUAACGCAAAACAUAGUGAUUUCACCUAUUUCAACAGACCACAUUGAAUUAAAGUUGCUCCUGUCUUGAAGGAGGUCCAUGUGGUGGCAGACAGUAGCCUUUAAGCAGAGGGAGCUUAAGUUACGGGGCAUAAUUGUUUGGUUGUUUCGAUCAAAGCACCAAUAGGAACAGUUGCCAAAUUCGUUGUCAACAUUGCUAUGUUUAGCAAUGUCCAUUCAUUCUAGGCACUCAACCAAUUAAGAUCCAAUUUAUCACAUUGUAUUCUAGGAUGUGGAAAAAACAAAGGUAUUUAUUUGACUUUUCCUCACGUUCCCAUAAAAUGAUCAGUACUCAAUAGGCCCUUGGCAGCUACUAUAUAAAGCUUCUUACAGAACAUGAGGCAUGUCCACAGCUCCCACUCUGAAAUUGUUGGAAAUGUCUCCUGCUUUCUUACUUCAAGGACGCACUUGCCUGUUUUCAGCGUUAUUAUAAACCAGUGCUCAAGUACUAUGGGUUUAGAUUUAUCAAAGAUUGAAUGAGCUUUGUAGGUGUUCAUGUUUAACCCUUUGAGGAUCACAUAUUUUCCGGCAAACGUCCCCCAAUUUAAGCGUUAUAUUUUUAUUCUGGAUUGUUCUUUAGUGACCUUUCCAGAAAAAAAAUGGGUAAAUAAUUUUUUAGGUCACAAAGUGACAAAGGUUUCUUAGUGUCCGCUGUUUUACACCAUGUUUAUUGUAGCAUGCAGGGCAAACUAGCAUAAUCACAUUUGUUAAAUGUAAUGACACUCACAAAACAUUAAACUAGGUGAAUACUCCCAAACUACUGCAGUGAUGGGCACCAUAGAAUAAAGAGAAAGAUCAGUUUUAGAAGAAGCCAAGGGGCAACAGCACAAUCAGGAUUUUUGUAGAAGUCGCAGAAGGUUACAGAAUCUGUAAUGUGAUGCUUGGGGACACUUCAUUCUUAAAAGGUAUGCUUAUUUAUAUGUUCUUUCGCCGCCUCAUAUUUAUGGUCAUGACCACACGAUUUGUUUCCACCACUCUACAUGCAUGGCAGUGACCCUCAAAGGAUUAGCAGAGCCAGUCCACUUGCAUAUUUCUCUUGUAAGACUGAGCAUUUCUUCGUAUUUCUUCUUCGCAUUUAUUUGUGUUAGUGUAACCAGGUCGGCGUGCAACUGCAGUAAAUCCUCGUUAUAAGCAGUAUUUUGUUUUCAGUAGAGAGGCAUAAGAAUGGUCAUCACGAUGCGAGAAGUGCACUCCAGUAGCAUAUGAGCUUGUAAAACA